UCAUGCCUACGGGGCGCAGCAGUGAGGAAUAUUGGUCAAUGGCCGGAAGGCUGAACCAGCCACGUCGCGUGAGGGACGACUGCCCUAUGGGUUGUAAACCUCGUUUAUAAGGGAAGAAUAAAUGCUACGUGUAGCAUGAUGCCUGUACCUUAUGAAUAAGCAUCGGCUAACUCCGUGCCAGCAGCCGCGGUAAUACGGAGGAUGCGAGCGUUAUCCGGAUUUAUUGGGUUUAAAGGGUGCGUAGGCGGUUUUUUAAGGUAGUGGUUUAACGACGGGGCUUCAACUUGAUUUGCCAUUAAUACUGU
rnacentral:rRNA from 1 species